AAUCCAUGGGAAGGGCAUAGUCUUAGAAAAUCUUUAUAACACUCUCAUGCUUCAAACAAGGACUCUCCUUCUUCUUUACUAAAGUUGUUGAUCUCAUUCCUAACU